rnacentral:rRNA from 1 species
AGCGAACGCUGGCGGCAGGCCUAACACAUGCAAGUCGAGCGGCCGUAGCAAUACGGCAGCGGCAGACGGGAGAGUAACACGUGGGAACGCGCCCUUCGGUUCGGAAUAACUCAGGGAAACUUGAGCUAAUACCGGAUACGCCCUUACGGGGAAAGAUUUAUUGCCGAAGGAACGGCCCGCGUCCGAUUAGCUUGUUGGUGAGGUAACGGCUCACCAAGGCGACGAUCGGUAGCUGGUCCGAGAGGAUGACCAGCCUCACUGGGACUGAGACACGGCCCAGACUCCUACGGGAGGCAGCAGUGGGGAAUAUUGGACAAUGGGCGCAAGCCUGAUCCAGCCAUGCCGCGUGGGUGAUGAAGGCCCUAGGGUUGUAAAGCCCUUUCAGCGGGGAAGAUAAUGACGGUACCCGCAGAAGAAGCCCCGGCUAACUUCGUGCCAGCCGCCGCAGUAAAAC